GACGCGCGUCCCGGGUAAUGGGGGGGAAACGUUUCGGAACGGACGCUAAUACCGCAUACGUCCUACGGGAGAAAGCAGGGGACCUUCGGGCCUUGCGCUAUCAGAUGAGCCUAGGUCGGAUUAGCUAGUUGGUGAGGUAAUGGCUCACCAAGGCUACGAUCCGUAACUGGUCUGAGAGGAUGAUCAGUCACACUGGAACUGAGACACGGUCCAGACUCCUACGGGAGGCAGCAGUGGGGAAUAUUGGACAAUGGGCGAAAGCCUGAUCCAGCCAUGCCGCGUGUGUGAAGAAGGUCUUCGGAUUGUAAAGCACUUUAAGUUGGGAGGAAGGGCAUUAACCUAAUACGUUAGUGUUUUGACGUUACCGACAGAAUAAGCACCGGCUAACUCUGUGCCAGCAGCCGCGGUAAUACAGAGGGUGCAAGCGUUAAUCGGAAUUACUGGGCGUAAAGCGCGCGUAGGUGGUUUGUUAAGUUGAAUGUGAAAUCCCCGGGCUCAACCUGGGAACUGCAUCCAAAACUGGCAAGCUAGAGUAUGGUAGAGGGUAGUGGAAUUUCCUGUGUAGCGGUGAAAUGCGUAGAUAUAGGAAGGAACACCAGUGGCGAAGGCGACUACCUGGACUGAUACUGACACUGAGGUGCGAAAGCGUGGGGAGCAAACAGGAUUAGAUACCCUGGGUAGUCCACGCCGUAAACGAUGUCAACUAGCCGUUGGGAGUCUUGAACUCUUAGUGGCGCAGCUAACGCAUUAAGUUGACCGCCCUGGGGAGUACGGCCGCAAGGUUAAAACUCAAAUGAAUUUGACGGGGCCCGCACAAAGCCGGUGAGCAAUGUGUUUAAUUUCGAAGCUACGCGAAGAACCUUACCAGGGCCUGACAUUCCAAUGAACUUUUCUAGAGAAUAGAUUGGUGCCUUUCGGGAAACAUUGAAACAGGUGCCUGCCAUGGCUGUCGGUCAGCCUCGGUGUCUGGGAGAAUGUUGGUUAAGUCCGUAACGAAGCGCCAACCUUGUUCUUUAGUUUACAGCCGUAAUGGUGGGCACCUCUUAAGGAAACUUGCUGGUGAACAAUCCGAAGAAUGGGUGGAAUGACUUCAGGCAUCCAUGCAUUUUACGCUUGGGGCUACACACUC
rnacentral:rRNA from 1 species